CCUACGGGAGGCAGCAGUGGGGAAUAUUGGACAAUGGGCGAAAGCCUGAUCCAGCAAUGCCGCGUGAGUGAUGAAGGCCUUAGGGUUGUAAAGCUCUUUUACCAGGGAUGAUAAUGACAGUACCUGGAGAAUAAGCUCCGGCUAACUCCGUGCCAGCAGCCGCGGUAAUACGGAGGGAGCUAGCGUUGUUCGGAAUUACUGGGCGUAAAGCGUACGUAGGCGGUUAUUCAAGUCAGAGGUGAAAGCCUGGAGCUCAACUCCAGAACUGCCUUUGAAACUAGAUAGCUAGAAUCUUGGAGAGGUGAGUGGAAUUCCGAGUGUAGAGGUGAAAUUCGUAGAUAUUCGGAAGAACACCAGUGGCGAAGGCGACUCACUGGACAAGUAUUGACGCUGAGGUACGAAAGCGUGGGGAGCAAACAGGAUUAGAUACCCUGGUAGUCCACGCCGUAAACGAUGAUAACUAGCUGUUCGGGCUCUACGAGCUUGAGUGGCGCAGCUAACGCAUUAAGUUAUCCGCCUGGGGAGUACGGUCGCAAAGAUUAAAAACUUAAAUAGUUAAGUUAGUAGNGUUGAGAGNGCGAGACGACACGAGGAGAGG
rnacentral:rRNA from 1 species